rnacentral:lncRNA from 1 species
UGCUUAUUAUUCUCUAACCUCUAUUAUCUAUAUUCUCUUCUCUACUUGUUUAUUUGUUAUCAUGUCUCAUGGUCGUGGUAACCGUGGCAAGUCUAUCAAUGUCGACCCCGAAGAAGAUAUUGAUAGCACUCCCACUUCUCACGAGUUUACUCAAAAUGUUCAAGUUCCAUCAUCAUCCUCUAGGAUAAGGGUGAAAGUGCCAGUUGAACGAGGACCUUUCGGCUCACGCCGGGAGGCUGCCGAUUUGGCGGAUGAAGCAUAUGCUAGACAACUUCAAGAAGCGGAGGAUGAAGAAUAUGCA